GAUGAACGCUGGCGGCGUGCCUAAUACAUGCAAGUCGAGCGAACAGACGAGGAGCUUGCUCCUCUGACGUUAGCGGCGGACGGGUGAGUAACACGUGGAUAACCUACCUAUAAGACUGGGAUAACUUCGGGAAACCGGAGCUAAUACCGGAUAAUAUAUUGAACCUCAUGGUUCAAUAGUUAAAGACGGUUUUUCUUACACUUAUAGCUGGAUCCGCAGCCCAUUAGUUAGUUGGUAAAGUAACGGCUUACCAACGCAACGAUGCGUAGCCGACCUGAGAGGGAGGUCGGCCACACUGGAAGUGAGAAACAGUACAGACUCCGACAGGAGGAAGCAGUCGGGAAUCUUACGCAAUGGGCGGAAGCCUGACGGAGCAACGCCGCGUGAGUGCUGAAGGACUUCGGAUCGUAAAACUCUGUUAUUAGGGAAGAAGAAAUGUGUAAGUAACUAUGCACGUAUUGACGGUACCUAAUCAGAAAGCCACGGCUAACUACGUG
rnacentral:rRNA from 1 species